GGAUGAUCAGCCACACCGGGACUGAGACACGGCCCGGACUCCUACGGGAGGCAGCAGUGGGGAAUAUUGGACAAUGGGGGAAACCCUGAUCCAGCCAUGCCGCGUGUGGAAGAAGGCCUUUUGGUUGUAAAGCACUUUAAGCAGUGAAGAAGACUCCGUGGUUAAUACCCACGGACGAUGACAUUAGCUGCAGAAUAAGCACCGGCUAACUCUGUGCCAGCAGCCGCGGUAAUACAGAGGGUGCAAGCGUUAAUCGGAAUUACUGGGCGUAAAGGGAGCGUAGGUGGCUCGAUAAGUCAGAUGUGAAAUCCCCGGGCUCAACCUGGGAACUGCAUCUGAUACUGUUGAGCUAGAGUAUGUGAGAGGAAGGUAGAAUUCCAGGUGUAGCGGUGAAAUGCGUAGAGAUCUGGAGGAAUACCGAUGGCGAAGGCAGCCUUCUGGCAUAAUACUGACACUGAGGCUCGAAAGCGUGGGUAGCAAACAGGAUUAGAUACCCUGGUAGUCCACGCCGUAAACGAUGUCUACUAGUCGUUGGGUCCCUUGAGGACUUAGUGACGCAGCUAACGCAAUAAGUAGACCGCCUGGGGAGUACGGCCGCAAGGUUAAAACUCAAAUGAAUUGACGGGGGCCCGCACAAGCGGUGGAGCAUGUGGUUUAAUUCGAUGCAACGCGAAGAACCUUACCUGGUCUUGACAUAUCUAGAAUCCUGCAGAGAUGCGGGAGUGCCUUCGGGAAUUAGAAUACAGGUGCUGCAUGGCUGUCGUCAGCUCGUGUCGUGAGAUGUUGGGUUAAGUCCCGCAACGAGCGCAACCCUUGUCCUUAGUUACCAGCGGGUUAAGCCGGGAACUCUAAGGAUACUGCCAGUGACAAACUGGAGGAAGGCGGGGACGACGUCAAGUCAUCAUGGCCCUUACGACCAGGGCUACACACGUGCUACAAUGGUAGGUACAGAGGGCAGCUACACAGCGAUGUGAUGCGAAUCUCAAAAAGCCUAUCGUAGUCCAGAUUGGAGUCUGCAACUCGACUCCAUGAAGUAGGAAUCGCUAGUAAUCGCGGAUCAGAAUGCCGCGGUGAAUACGUUCCCGGGCCUUGUACACACCGCCCGUCACACCAUGGGAGUUGAUUGCACCAGAAGUGGAUAGCCUAACCUUCGGGAAGGC
rnacentral:rRNA from 1 species